CUGGUGGCCGAUGCCGCCAUGAUGAAGAGGGAAUACGGUGUGAAUCCGUAACUGUACCUGCAGCUGUAAUCCUCGCAAAAAGGGUCUGCCUGUAUAACACCACUGAGCCUCGGCUCGGGAAGGUAAGGCAGACAGAGGAGAGUCAGAAGACCUGCCUAUACUAU
rnacentral:ncRNA from 1 species